CGUGGGGCUGCCCUGUGCCACGGGGCUGUGCUGUGGGGCUGAGCUGUGCCGUAGGGAUGCCGUGGGGCUGAGCUGUGCCAUAGGGAUGCCAUGGGGCUGUGCUGUGCCGUUAGGGGUGCUGUGGGGCUGUGCUGUGCCAUGGGGCUGAGCUGUGCCAUACUGUGCCGUGGGGACACCGUGGUGCCACCGCGUCCCUCUGUGCCACAGCUGCACCCGGCGGAGCUGCUCAACCGCAGCCGGCGCCCGGAGCUGAGUGGUGAAGCCGGUGUGGGACGUGGUGACGCCGCGGCACAGCUGUGUGGUGACCGUGACAAAGAGGAGACGGCAGCGCUGCUGGCAGCACUGAGUGAUGGUGGAUCCACGGUGCCACGCCGCAGCACCGGCACUGCCGGGGGGGAGGAGGAGGAGGAGGAGGAGGAGGAGGAAGCAGAGCUGGCAUUGGCGCUGCAGUGCUCGAUGGAGGAGAAGAAAAAGGAGGAAGAAGAGGAGGAAGCACAGCUGGCAUUGGCGCUGCAGCGAUCCAUGAAGGAGAAAAAGAAGGAGGAAGAAGAGGAGGAGGAAGCACAGCUGGCAAUGGCGCUGCAGUGUUCCAUGAAGGAGGAAGAGGAGGAGGAAGCACAGCUGGCAUUGGCGCUGCAGCGAUCCAUGAAGGAGAAAGAGGAGGAGGAAGAAGAGGAGGAGGAAGUACAGCUGGCCAUAGCACUGCAGUGCUCCAUGGAGGAGAAGAAAGAGGAGGAAGAGGAGGAGGAAGCACAGCUGGCACUGGCACUGCAGCGAUCCAUGAAGGAGAAAAAAGAGGAAGAGGAGGAGGAAGCACAGCUGGCACUGGCGCUGCAGUGCUCGAUGGAGGAGGAGGAGGAGGAGGAUGAGGAUGAAGCACAGCUGGCGCUGCAGCGCCGCCCUGCAGCCUCCGUUCCCCGCAGCACAGCAGCAGGGCAGAGCCGCCCCCCGCAGGAUUUGGCGGAGCUGCAGGUUUUCGCGGCGUCGCGGCGCGAUGCUGGAAUGGUGGCGGCG
rnacentral:lncRNA from 1 species